UUUUAUUGGAGAAAUGAGACAAUGAAAAAGCUAGAAAAUGGUGUGAUUAAGUACCACACCUAUCUCAUGGGAAGAGGGAGAAAGACUUUUAAAGAAAGCCAGGUGAGCAUCACUAGGAGCGGCCACUGAACCGAGUGCUAGGUUGACUGUGGGCUCAUCAAGACACAUACGGAUGAGAAGGUUGGUGCUCAGGCAAAUUCUAGGAAUACUGAGUGUAUGCAGGCAUGCUGACCAUUACUCUUUUCUGGGACAGAAUCCUUGAAGAGGCCAAGUAGACGCUGACAGGAUGGUGGAAUAGUAGAGGAGGGCUGGAAAGAAUUCUAAGAAGAGAAGUCUGCUCGGACAAGACAAAACAGACAAAAGAAGAAAGGAGACUUGUUAGAGAGAAAGAGAGAGAACAGCAGAGGGAGAGGGAGAAGCAGACUCCCUGCUGUGCAGGGAACCUGAUGCGGGGCUCGAUCCCAGGACCCCGGGAUCAUGACCUGAGCCAAAGGCAGACACUUAACCGACUGAGCCACCCAGAGUGCUGCUUGGAAGGUAGGAGGGUGAGGAAUGGGAUGUGACAUGGAAGACACGCCUGGUGAAUCUGAUGGUGCCACUGGCCACUCUUGACGUCCUGACCUCAGGAAACAAUUUACCAAAAGAAAAUGUGAAUCUCCAAUGUAUGGAAAAUGUGAAUCACAAGCACUGGCUGGAGGCAAAUGAUCCUGUGGGGUAUUCCAAACCCCUCCAAGGUGGUGGAACCACUAAGAAGCAACCACCCUGCAUUGGAUGGUGACAUGAAACAGGCUUUAUGAGAUGGAGUAAGAAAUAACGUUAUGAGAGGCAUCCUCCAGACGCAGUGGCUCGUCUCCGAUGGCAACCAGGACUUCAGCCCUAUCCCCCACUGUCAAUCCACUGAAAGGAAAAUUUAGCAAUUAAAGGUAGAAGAUCAAAGGAAUUACUCUAAUUCUGGGGCUGCAUAUGAAGGAAAUGUAUCUUUUCUAGACCACUGCAAGAUCAUAAAUAUCACUCCGUUUUUUCCGUAAGUAAAAACACGUCUUUCCCUACACAUGCAUGCUCGUGUGCGCGCACACGCAGACACAGAAGACCUAACGGGGACCUUGAGUGAGGCGCUAAAGCAGCCCUGAAGAGUCAGCGAAAGCUUACUGACCUUCUACUGACACCAACCGCUGGACCAGAUGCUCCCAUGAUCUUUUCACGUCAACUGAGUGAUACCUCCCUGCCUUUUGCCUCCCCGCCUUUAACCUCAGGUUCCUUCCUUGUUUUCCAAAAGGGGUUACAUGCACCUGCCCAAUCUGUUGGAGUCACUGUGGCGGUGAAAUAAAGUGAAAUUAUGAGAAACUGCUCUGGGGGAAAAAAAAGGCAUGGCAUAGAAACGAAGUGUCAUUAUGGAUGGCUUUCCCAAGCAUCCUCUUAGGAACAUAGUGUUCCGACAUUGAGGCUAUUUGUUUAGGGCUCAGUCCUGAGGUUUGAAUAGGUCCACCCAGGGAGGGUGUCAGUGAGGCUGAGAUGAGCACAUUAUCUUGAAGAUAUUUUAGAGUAAGGGUAGGAGAGUUUAUGGGAGAGAAAAUAUACAUAUGUGUAUGAACAUUAUAUGCUACAAGGAAUCCUCAGAAGGCGGUGAUAUAAAACUAGAAAGAUAAUAAUCAAAAAAGGAAAAAAAAAGAAGAAAUAAGAACAAGAACAACAAGAGGAAAAUAGGUAGUGAUAAGAAAUAAGAAAUAGUGCCUGAGAUCAGGAUUCAUUUCCUUUGUCUUCCAGCAAAUGUGGAAAGGGAACUCAAAUAGGGUAGUGCCUAAAAUUUCAUGUUGGGAACGCUGAAUAUUUGUUGAAUAUAAUAUCUGAACACAUAUUAAGAGGGCAGUUGGUUCUCCAAUACUCGAAUAGAAAGCACUUAUCCAUUCCGGCUCUCACCCCUUAAAUGGAAAUCAAUGUGAAAAAUCAAAUUUGGUUUAUUUUAAGUUUCUUUAAACCUGCUUUUCAGGCAUGUGUCUACUUCAGAGUAUGAAGUGCAGCUAUUUGUGAUAAGCUGAAUGCUGCCUAUUUGAUGAUCUAGCAAUGAUUUGGGUUUGUAAUCAUUGUCCACUUCCAGUCUGUGGACUGGGUUUAAUCUAAAAUUAAUCCUUUUAAAAAACAUUAGGCAAUAGUUCUUAAGUCUAUGAUGCAUAGCUAUCAGAACUGUGGGUUGCUUACUGGUCUUAUAAAGUUGAGUCUCCUUCCUUGGGCCUGUAUGGAUGUUUUGUAAUAAAG